GGGGGCGUACAGGUUUCGACGGGGGUGUGGAAGUCGGGUAAGCGAGCCGCAGUUGGUUCAGACUGCGUUAAAAAGGACCCGUUAAGAAUAAACGCAAAAACAAACAAUAAUUACGCACUCGCUGCUUAAUUAGCAGCCGCGUCGUCGCCCGGUAUUUACCCGUAGGUUCCGGAUCCGGCGUCGAUCAUACGGGAAAACUUCCCGAGAGCUCCUGGUAUCGGGAGGGACUAACAGGAUAGCGGAAAAGCAGCCUGCUUUUGGGCGGCUUCCGAAGCGAAACAUAAAAUCAAAAGCUGCGCUCGGAGAAAGCCUUACGGAAAUGCUUUCGGACGUGGGUUCGAUUCCCACCGCCUUCACCA
rnacentral:tmRNA from 1 species